rnacentral:piRNA from 1 species
UAUGGAGAUGUUUCCUAUAGUUGUGUGGGU